AUUGAACGCUGGCGGCAUGCCUUACACAUGCAAGUCGAACGGUAACAGGUCUUCGGAUGCUGACGAGUGGCGAACGGGUGAGUAAUACAUCGGAACGUGCCUAGUAGUGGGGGAUAACCACUCGAAAGAGUGGCUAAUACCGCAUGAGAUCUACGGAUGAAAGCAGGGGAUCGCAAGACCUUGUGCUACUAGAGCGGCCGAUGGCAGGUUAGGUAGUUAGUGGGAUAAAAGCUUACCAAGCCGACGAUCCGUAGCUGGUCUGAGAGGACGAUCAGCCACACUGGGACUGAGACACGGCCCAGACUCCUACGGGAGGCAGCAGUGGGGAAGUUUGGACAAUGGGGGAAAGCCUGAUCCAGCAAUGCCGCGUGCAGGAUGAAGGCCUUCGGGUUGUAAACUGCUUUUGUACGGAACGAAAAGCCCCGGGUUAAUACCCUGGGGUCAUGACGGUACCGUAAGAAUAAGCACCGGCUAACUACGUGCCAGCAGCCGCCGCAG
rnacentral:rRNA from 1 species